UCAAGCCAAGGGCAAACCCAUUUAACGAUGGGGACGCAAAGCCACAGGGUCUAAAGUGCGUAAAGCGCGCUAUGACAGCCUGGCUGCCGGA
rnacentral:ncRNA from 1 species